rnacentral:rRNA from 1 species
AGANCCCGGCUCAGGACAAACGCGGGGGGGGGCCAACAACANGCAGUCGGACGAGUCCACCCCUUCGGGGGGAGGCGAAUGGCGGACGGGGGAGGAACACGGGAGCAAUCNGUCCCCGGGGGGGGGAAAACUCGGGGAAACUCGAGCUAAAACCGCAGGGGCGUUUCCCAGGAUCNGGAAGCCUGGGAAGGGGGCUUCUUUACAANGCCGCCAUGCAGGGAGGAGCUCGCGGGCUAUCAGCUAGUGGGCAGGGUAAAGGCCUACCAAGGCGACGACGGCUACGGGGUCUGAGAGGACGACCCCGCACAUUGGAACUGAGACACGGUCCUGACUCCUACGGGAGGCAGCAGUGGGGAAUUUUGGGCAAUGGCCGAAAGGCUGACCCAGCGACGCCGCGUGUGGGAGGAAGCCCUUCGGGGUGUAAACCACUGUCAGGGGAGACGAAAGCGGAGGCGGGGAAUACCCGUGUCCAGUGACGGUACCCCCAAAGGAAGCACCGGCUAACUCUGUGCCAGCAGCCGCGGUAAUACAGAGGGUGCAAGCGUUGUUCGGAAUCACUGGGCGUAAAGCGCGCGCAGGCGGGUGGGCAAGUCGGAAGUGAAAUCUCGCCGCUCAACGACGAGGCUGCUUCGGAUACUACCCAUCUAGGGACCGGUAGAGGCUGGUAGAAUUGCAGGUGUAGCGGUGGAAUGCGUAGAGAUCUGCAAGAAUACCCGUGGCGAAGGCGGCCAGCUGGGCCGGGUCCGACGCUGAGGCGCGAAAGCGUGGGGAGCAAACAGGAUUAGAUACCCUGGUAGUC